rnacentral:rRNA from 1 species
UACGAAGGGGGCUAGCGUUGUUCGGAAUCACUGGGCGUAAAGCGCACGCAGGCGGCUUGAUAAGUCAGGGGUGAAAUCCCGGGGCUCAACCUCGGAAUUACCUUUGAUACUGUCUGUCUUGAGUUCGGGAGAGGUUGGCGGAAUUCCUAGUGUAGAGGUGAAAUUCGUAGAUAUUAGGAAGAACACCAGUGGCGAAGGCGGCCAACUGGCCCGAUACUGACGCUCAUGUGCGAAAGCGUGGGGAGCAAACAGG